UGAGGCCAGCGCCAACGCCUGCCACAUAGAGAGUCAAGUGAGCCCUCUCUCUGCCAGGGAGAUGAUAGCGCUCUGAUUACAUUUUCAUACAGCGCCUGGAUUGGAGGGUGCACUUAACAUUCAAAUAAUUCUCCAGGGUGCCGUCACAGGUUGAAAUUGAAAUGUUCCCGGUUGAAGGGUCAUCACUUAGAGCACUCAGCAGCCGCCGCCACGUCAGGAUGUCCAGCACUCUUGAGGCCUGAAAGAUCCACACCGGUAAAGGCGAAAAACGGACCGCUUCACAACACUAUCCUGGAGUUGCUGUGUUCUUUUGGGUUUUUACGUAUAGACGUCCCCUGAGAGAAGAUAACUGGGAUACAAUCAUACAGACCUGCUGGAGUGUUUGCUGAAGAUACACCGCGACUGAAAGAGGUGUGAAGAGGGACAAAUUAGGGCACAAAAUAACACUCAUUUAAAAUGACAGAUACACACGCUGUAAACUGAGACGUUAAACUUUUCCAUGAAACCUGCAAGUCAAGUAAGUCAGCGUUAGUAAAUACGAUGAUGAUAGAUGGGAAUGAACUACGGGAUUUGUAAUGCGCUCCAUGAGAAGGGUGAUGGUCGAACAGAGGAAAUGUUUGCAAGGUAAAAGCAGCAAUUAAUCCGUGUAAUCUCAGUGACUUUGUACAUUAUUUGUCUGUUAUCCACGCCGAUCGCUGACACGUUUUGUAACUCUGUUGGAUUUUGAAAGUUUACAUUUGUGAUAA